UACGGAGGGGGCCAGCGUUGCUCGGAAUUAUUGGGCGUAAAGGGCGCGUAGGCGGCUUGGUAAGUUUGAUGUGAAAUCCCAUGGCUCAACCAUGGAACUGCAUCUCAUACUGCCGAGCUAGAGUCUGGGAGAGGGAAGCGGAAUUCCCGGUGUACGCGGUGAAAUGCGUAGAUAUCGGGAGGAACACCAGUGGCGAAGGCGGCUUCCUGGACCAGCACGUGACGCGUGAGGC
rnacentral:rRNA from 1 species